rnacentral:piRNA from 1 species
UGCAUGAUCUUGAAUGUAAAAGGACCUUCGC